UGGGGAAUUUUGGACAAUGGGCGAAAGCCUGAUCCAGCAAUGCCGCGUGUGUGAAGAAGGCCUUCGGGUUGUAAAGCACUUUUGUCCGGAAAGAAAUCCUUGGCUCUAAUACAGUCGGGGGAUGACGGUACCGGAAGAAUAAGCACCGGCUAACUACGUGCCAGCAGCCGCGGUAAUACGUAGGGUGCAAGCGUUAAUCGGAAUUACUGGGCGUAAAGCGUGCGCAGGCGGUUUGCUAAGACCGAUGUGAAAUCCCCGGGCUCAACCUGGGAACUGCAUUGGUGACUGGCAGGCUAGAGUAUGGCAGAGGGGGGUAGAAUUCCACGUGUAGCAGUGAAAUGCGUAGAGAUGUGGAGGAAUACCGAUGGCGAAGGCAGCCCCCUGGGCCAAUACUGACGCUCAUGCACGAAAGCGUGGGGAGCAAACAGGAUUAGAUACCCUGGUAGUCCACGCCCUAAACGAUGUCAACUAGUUGUUGGGGAUUCAUUUCCUUAGUAACGUAGCUAACGCGUGAAGUUGACCGCCUGGGGGAGUACGGUCGCAAGAUUAAAACUCAAAU
rnacentral:rRNA from 1 species